rnacentral:rRNA from 1 species
UACGUAGGGGGCUAGCGUUGUCCGGAAUCAUUGGGCGUAAAGAGCGUGUAGGCGGUUCGGUAAGUCCGCUGUGAAAGUCCAGGGCUCAACCCUGGAAUGCCGGUGGAUACUGUCGGGCUAGAGUCCGGAAGAGGCGAGUGGAAUUCCUGGUGUAGCGGUGAAAUGCGCAGAUAUCGGGAGGAACACCUAUGGCGAAGGCAGCUCGCUGGGACGUUACUGACGCUGAGACGCGAAAGCGUGGGGAGCAAACAGG